rnacentral:rRNA from 1 species
GAUGAACGCUGGCGGCGUGCCUAAUACAUGCAAGUCGAGCGAACAGACGAGGAGCUUGCUCCUCUGACGUUAGCGGCGGACGGGUGAGUAACACGUGGAUAACCUACCUAUAAGACUGGGAUAACUUCGGGAAACCGGAGCUAAUACCGGAUAAUAUAUUGAACCGCAUGGUUCAAUAGUGAAAGACGGUUUUGCUGUCACUUAUAGAUUGAUCCGCGCCGCAUUAGCUAGUUGGUAAGGUAACGGCUUACCAAGGCAACGAUGCGUAGCCGACCUGAGAGGGUGAUCGGACACACUGGAACUGAGACACGGUCCAGAAUCCGACGGGAGGCAGCAGUAGGGAAUCUUCCGCAAUGGGCGAAAGCAUGACGGAGCAACGCCGCGUGAGUGAUGAAGGUCUUCGGAUCGUAAAACUCUGUUAUUAGGGAAGAACAAAUGUGUAAGUAAAUAUGCACGUCUUGACGGUACCUAAUCAGAAAGCCACGGCUAACUACGUG